AUGGGAGAGGCUCCGAAAUCCACCCAAAUCAUCGAUCUCCAGCCCCCCGGGGGGUCCCUGCGCCUCCUCUGCCGCGCCUCGGGGUUCAAUUUCGGGAAUUUUGGAAUGUUCUGGAUCCGCCAGAGACCCGGGCAGGGGCUGGAAUACGUCGCAGGGAUCAGCAGCGAUGGCAGCAGCACCAGAUACGCGCCGUCGGUGAAGGGCCGGGCGACGAUCUCCAGGGCCAACGGGCAGAGCUCGGUGACGCUGACCAUGAACGGCCUCAAGGACGAGGAUUCCGGCUCCUGUUUCUGUGCCAAACGUGCUUACAGUGGUGGUUAUGCUGCUGAUGCUGCUGCUGGUUUUCCUUUUGCCCCCACCGCCAUCACCCUCCUGGCCCCAAAGCUCAGCCCGGGGCCCGCUCGGGGCCGUUUUGGCUCCUGA